UACGAAGGGUGCAAACGUUAUUCGGAAUUACUGGGCGUAAAGCGUGCGCAGGCGGUUUGUUAAGUCCUCUGUGAAAUCCCCGAGCUCAACUUGGGAAUUGCAGUGGAUACUGGCAAGCUGGAGUAUGGUAGAGGAAGGUGGAAUUCCUGGUGUAGCGGUGAAAUGCGCAGAUAUCAGGAGGAACACCGGUGGCGAAGGCGGAUCUCUGGGCCAUUACUGACGCUGAGGAGCGAAAGCGUGGGGAGCGAACAGG
rnacentral:rRNA from 1 species